GCAGGGCGCGGGCUUCGCGAAAGUGGAGUGGUGCCGAGCUCAAGC
rnacentral:tRNA from 1 species